rnacentral:rRNA from 1 species
AGUGGCGCACGGGUGAGUAACGCGUAGAUAAUCUGCCCUGAGGUUUGGGAUAACUCCCCGAAAGGGGGGCUAAUACCGGAUAAAACCAGUAACCUAGUGGUAGCUGGUUGAAAGAUUUAUUGCCUCGGGAUGAGUCUGCGUAACAUUAGCUAGUAGGUGGGGUAAAGGCCUACCUAGGCUACGAUGUUUAGCGGGUCUGAGAGGAUGAUCCGCCACACUGGAACUGAGACACGGUCCAGACUCC